rnacentral:lncRNA from 1 species
GUAGAUCUCUGCCUUGCUCCCCUGAGUCAUAAGGUUUUUUUAGUCUUAAGUUUAAUAGAGGACUUAGCUGGGUUCAGUCAUGUAUUCAGUACAGAUGGUCUCAACAACACACUGCUAUCUUUUUGUUUUUUUUUUUGUUUUUUUUUAUCUUUUUGUUUUUUAAGAUUUUAUUUAUUUAUUCAUGACAGACACACACACAGAGAGAGAGAGAGAGAGAGGCAGAGACACAGGCAGAGGGAGAAGCUGGCUCCAUGCAGGGAGCCCGACGUGGGACUCGAUUCCGGGUCUCCAGGAUCAUACCCCGGGGCUGAAGGUGGCGCCAACAACACACUGGGGCUGCCCAACAACACACUGCUAUCUUACGGCUGCAUCCUUGAUGUGGCUGCUAGUGUGGGAAUGGUGCAUAGGAUGUACAUUCCAAGGAUAAGGAAGGGAGUGAAAAGCCUACAAUUGGAGUCCAACUUGAAGGUCAACCAGCAUUCAUAUUGCUUGAUGACCUCCUCCAACAGCUGGAAAUCAGAAGCUAUAAAGAAAACAAACAUUUCGUGGAUGGAACUGGAGGGUAUUAUGCUGAGUGAAGAUUUGAAGAUCAGAGUCCAUUCUAGGCCUGCAGAAUUAAGACUGUGGACUGAACAUAGUGACAGUUUUUCCUGCAACCCGGCUACCUGUUUCCUUUCCAUGCCUCAGUUAUGCUGCCCAGUUUCUGAUCUUUUCAGCUUAGGGUCUGUGGGUGUCCAGGUCUCAGGAGCAGAAUACCCCCACCCUCUGUAG